rnacentral:rRNA from 1 species
GGGAAUUUUGCGCAAUGGGCGAAAGCCUGACGCAGCAACGCCGCGUGGAGGAUGAAGGUCUUUGGAUUGUAAACUCCUGUCAGCAGGGAAAAAGGCUCAUGGCCACACCAUGAGAUUGAUUGUACCUGCAGAGGAAGCCCCGGCUAACUCUGUGCCAGCAGCCGCGGUAAUACAGAGGGGGCAAGCGUUAUUCGGAAUUAUUGGGCGUAAAGGGCGCGUAGGCGGCGUCUCAAGUGGAUGGUGAAAUCCCCGGGCUUAACCUGGGAACUGCCGUCCAAACUGAGAGGCUUGAGUCCGGGAGAGGUAAGUGGAAUUCCCAGUGUAGCGGUGAAAUGCGUAGAUAUUGGGAGGAACACCAGUGGCGAAGGCGGCUUACUGGACCGGAACUGACGCUCAGGUGCGAAAGCGUGGGGAGCAAAC